rnacentral:rRNA from 1 species
GACAGAGGGUGCAAACGUUGUUCGGAAUUACUGGGCGUAAAGCGCGUGUAGGCGGCCAGAUAGGUCCGUUGUGAAAACUCGAGGCUCAACCUCGAGACGCCGAUGGAAACCAUUUGGCUAGAGUCCGGAAGAGGAGAGUGGAAUUCCUGGUGUAGCGGUGAAAUGCGCAGAUAUCAGGAAGAACACCCGUGGCUAAGGCGGCUCUCUAGUACGGUACUGACGCUGAGACGCGAAAGCGUGGGGAGCGAACAGG